GAUACAGUUGGGGUCAUUCUAUAAAAUCGGAAUAAUAUAUAGAAGAUUGGCAUGGCCCUUGCCCAAGGCUGACAAACACAAUCGAGAAAUGGUCCAAAUUUUC